AAUUUUGGACAAAGGGGGAAACCCUGAUCCAGCCAUCCCGCGUGUAUGAUGAAGGCCUUCGGGUUGUAAAGUACUUUUGGCAGAGAAGAACAGGUACCUCCUAAUACGAGGUACUGCUGACGGUAUCUGCAGAAUAAGCACCGGCUACAUAGUUCCCAGCAGCCGCGGUAAUACGUAGGGGUCAAGCGUUAAGCGGAAUUACUGGGCGUAAAGCGUGUUUAGGCGGUUCGGAAAGAACGAUGUAAAAUCCCAGGGCUCAACCGUGGAACGGCAUUUUUAACUGCCGAGCUAGAGUAUGUCAGAGGGGGGUAGAAUUCCACGUGUAGCAGUGAAAUGCGUAGAUAUGUGGAGGAAUACCGAUGGCGAAGGCAGCCCCCUGGGAUAAUACUGACGCUCAGACACGAAAGCGUGGGGAGCAAACA
rnacentral:rRNA from 1 species